rnacentral:rRNA from 1 species
ACGUAGGGUGCGAGUGUUGUCCGGAAUUAUUGGGCGUAAAGAGCUUGUAGGUGGUUUGUCGCGUCUGCUGUGAAAAUCCGAGGCUCAACCUCGGACUUGCAGUGGGUACGGACAGACUAGAGUGAUGUAGGGGAGACUGGAAUUCCUGGUGUAGCGGUGAAAUGCGCAGAUAUCAGGAGGAACACCGAUGGCGAAGGCAGGUCUCUGGGCAUUAACUGACGCUGAGGAGCGACAGCAUGGGGAGCGAACAGGA